CCACACCCAGCCGGACUCAACUCAAAAUUCGAAUCCCAUUAGGAGGACGCAGCUGCAUCGACCGGCGGAACGACGCCCUCCCCAUCGCCGCGCCUGGAUCUCGCCCCUUUCUCACUACCUCGCCAAUGAAUCUCGGUGGGCAGUGGCGGAGACAGGGGGACCAGCAGGGGCCCUGGCCCCCCUGACAUUAGGAGUUUGCUGCUAAUUCACUGAUGAACAGUGCGUAAUUAGCAAUUUUUUAUGCUUAAAGUCUGUUUUUUCUAUGCUUUGGCCCUCCCCAACCUAUUUUGACUGCAAUCGGCCCCCCUAAUUCAAAUUUCCUGGCUCCGCCACUGUCGGUGGGGAGUCGUUCACGGAUCUCCUGAUCAGAGCUUCUGUUCCCAGCCGGUUGCAACCGAGGGUGUCCCAGAUCUGGCUGUGCAAGAGGAGGGGGAGGACGACGGCGAGUGCGGGCAUGGAGGGAAAUUUUCUGUUACCGAUUCUCCUUCCUCAAGUUCUGCAUCACAAGUUCAUGAGGCCACGGAAGAUUUAAUCAAUGUCCCGGAUAUUGACAACACUGACAAUCCCAGAGAGCCCCCAUCUCAAUCGCAACGCACUCCAACUCCAUGGCCUCAAAGGGUCCAACUUGGCAAGAUACCCGACCAUAUUAUGUGAUAUUGUUUUCAUUAUCCGGAAGGAUAAGUGCUCUGGAGAAGGCCAUGUUUGGGUGGGCCGUGUGGGGCAGGCUCGCACUGAUCCACGUGUGAGGGUGACGGCAACGAUUCGUGCUGCGCGCACAACCGGUUAGGAUUCGUCAUAUUUGGCUUGCCACGACGAUGACCAUGGCUCUCAAGGCCAGCAAAGAUGUCUUGUGUUGUUAACAAAGCUGAUUAGGCCAAUUCACAAUUCCUUGAACAGAGUUGUCUGAUGUGAGAAAUAUCUCCCUGCAACAUAAACAGAGUUGCUAACAAAACAAGGGUAUGUAUGGGCAAGAUACCCGACGUCCAUACGCCGUCACCAGGAAAAUUAAGUGCAUUGGAGAAGGCAUUAAUAAUUAUUUUUGAAAGAAAGUCAGAGUUUGUGGUCAAGAGUUCAAUUCUUUGGCUGAAGCUUACGACUUCUAUAACCUAGUCAAAAUUCUGUUCUAUUUGCUGGGCAAAGGGUCACCUGGCAAAUGGUUGUCCUUCUCGAGGAGAUGCACAAAAAAACCAAGGAUAGAACCGAAGUGUAGCAACUGCUGACCUGGAGGGCACAAAAGGAAUGCGUGCACACGGAGUAUCUUCAGCGUGUUCCUCCAAAGCAAACCCGAGAAUUUAUUCGCGUCAUAGAUAUUAUCUCGUCUAUAUUUUGUAUGGGUGUUAUCUUAUCAUUUGAAAACUUGUGUCUUUUUUGGGGGGCAUUUUGCA